rnacentral:tRNA from 1 species
CGCGGGGUGGAGCAAUGGUAGCUCGUCGGGCUCAUAACCCGGAGGUUGUCGGUUCGAAUCCGGCCCCCGCAACCA